CCCGCCGACUCCUGGGACGGCGGCCAGUCGACACGAUAUGACGAGGAGGCCUUCGAGCCGCGCCAGGGCCGCCGACAGCCGCCGUUUAAGUUCAAGGCCAACGCCAGCAAGCACAUUCUGGAGCGGUUCACCAGACGUGGUCAGGGGCAGAGCUCGCUGAUCAAGUCCAC